GACGUAGGGCGCAAGCGUUGUCCGGAAUUAUUGGGCGUAAAGAGCUCGUAGGCGGCUUGUCACGUCGGGUGUGAAAGCCCGGGGCUUAACCCCGGGUCUGCAUUCGAUACGGGCUAGCUAGAGUGUGGUAGGGGAGAUCGGAAUUCCUGGUGUAGCGGUGAAAUGCGCAGAUAUCAGGAGGAACACCGGUGGCGAAGGCGGAUCUCUGGGCCAUUACUGACGCUGAGGAGCGAAAGCGUGGGGAGCGAACAGG
rnacentral:rRNA from 1 species